ACUAAACGAAAAACGUUUAUUCAGAAGAGAAAUGAUAAAUUAUUAAAACUGACGCAAAUUAUAUAUAUAAGAAACGUAAAUAAAAGCUACCAUAAAUAAUAAAUUUUUUUAUUAAAUUUUUUCUACUGUGUCAAAGAAGGAGAUUUAUCAUGAUCCAUCCUGAAAGUGAAGUAAAGGAAGACAUGGGGAAGGAAAUCCCCGAUGAAGAACUUUUGAGUCUUUACGAGAAAAAGCGAAAGAAAGAAGAGAAUGAUUUUGUGGCAAGAUUGUUGAAGCCGUACUCCACCUUCUUGGUUAAAUAUCCUUUUGUUAUUAUUCUCCUCCUCAUUGUCACAAUAAUAUUUUCGGGAAUAUUAAGCGUGCUACCUGCUACUGGUGCAAAAGAUUUUCCAGACUUCUCCGAUCCAACCAAGGGAUUUGAAGCACGUGGAACGACCAUCUCUUCCAGAGGUAUUGCUUUUGUAAACACAGCCGAUGUGCCAAGAAGGCAACGAGGUCGAAGAAGCGUUAACAACGGAUUAUGGAAUACAAACUUGCGAGAAGUAAAAAUUGAUAGCGAUUUUGUUAUGGUAUAUGAGCACAGCGGUGGAGGGAAUUUAAUAAAACAUAUGAAAACAAUUUGUCAGAUGCAUAAAAAGAAAAUUGAGAGCGAGGCGGGGUAUCACACCUAUUUUUAUACAACUCAUCACCUUCCUAAUUACAUAGCGUUACUUACCAACAAAACAGACUGCAUGAGUAUAACGCAGAACGAUAUUGAUGAAUUCUUUUCUCUAUUAAAAAACUGUGUGGCAAAUUAUAAGAAUAUGAAGUACAAGAAUUGCAUAAAAGAUGAGGUAAAAUGUGCUAGCGUUACUACUUCAUGUCGUUCACACGUCAACAUACCACAUAAACAAGACUUUGCUACUUUUGUUUACAAUGUUUUCUUUUUUUUAACUGAUACUGCAUUCUCGAAUGACGUCACCACUUUAAGUCACGUGACAAGCAUGGAUAUGUAUGAUUUUAGAAGCUACGAUUUUUUUCAAACUUUAUACGAUAGAAGUUUAAAAGACCUCGAUAACGCUGUUUAUAACGACGUGAAAAUUGUUGCUUUUAACAUGCAGGGAUUUAAGUUCCACGUGUUUCAAACAGAAGUUAUCGUGCAAUCGUUGUUUAUCAUAAGUGCUAUCAUUUUGGUUGUCUUAUUUAUUUGGUUUUAUUCGGGUUCCCUUUUCAUCGGUUUAAUGACGUUAGGUUGUGUUCUGUUUGCCACAAUCAUUUCAUAUUUUGUUUAUGGGCGUGUCUUUGACAUGGAUUUUUUUCCGUUUCUGAACAUGGUGACAACCAUCUUUAUUGUUGGCAUCGGCGCCGACGAUGCAUUUGUCUAUACAGGGAUCUGGGAAGAAGCCAAACUUGUUUACGUUAUAACAAAUACCGCUGAGCACGUGGAAUAUUUGAUAAAAUGGACCACUCAUACAUUACGUCACGCUCUGUUGGCUAUGUUUGUGACAUCAUUAACAACCGCAGCAGCGUUUUACUCGAAUAUCUCUUCUAGUGUGACGAGUGUCAAAUGUUUUGGUUUGUACUCUGGAACCGCCAUUAUUGUUAACUAUUUGUUGAUGGUAACGUUCUUUCCAGCUGUUGUUAUUAUCCACGACAAAUACUUAUCAAAAUGCAUGCAUGCUUGUUGCCCAAGUACUUGUAAAUCUCGACCGCAAGUUAAAAAUCAGGACCGGAAUUAUAAACACACAGCAUCAGGCAACAUGCAGGAGAUCUCCGAGAGAGAAGUCGAACUUAAAACAUCAAAACCAUUUGUUACUAAGCUACAAGCAGUCUUAGAUAUUGUUUCCGAGAAAAUCUUUGAGAAAUAUCUGCCAGGUAUUAUUUUUAAGUUGCGAUUCGUUUGGAUUGUUAUUCUUUUUUGCAUCGGCGUUGGUGGAAUUAUCGUCACCUUUAUAGAGCCUGGAUUAAGUCUUCCAUCCACGGGUGAAUUCCAAAUGUUCACUAGUUCCAACUCCCUCGAACAAUUCGAGUUAACAUAUAAAAGGAAAUUUUCGUUUAGUGCUAGUUCAAGUAAAGGUAACCAGAAGCUGCGAUUUGUUUUUGGAGUAAAACCGGUAGAUAACGGUAACAAGUUCAAUCCAGACGAUCUGGGCACGUUAGAGUAUGACGGGCCGUUAGAUAUUGCAAACGAACAAAUUUGGUUACGGAGUUUUUGUACAAACAUACGAAAUGAAACUUUUUAUAUAUCAUCCCACACCUGUGAUAUUAUUGAAGCUUUCUUCACUGGGUUGACCUCAACUUGUAAUUCCACGUGUUGCAACUACACGCUUCCCGUCCCUAAAGACGAUUUCUUAACUUGCUUGUUACGUAAGAAAUCUUUGCUUACAAGCGCUAAGUUUGACGACAGUAAUAAUUUGUUGUCGUUUAUAUUGUACGUCGAAUCGUCGCAUCGCACCACGGAUGCUUAUGGAUACAACGAAGAAUUAUUCAAUACAAUGGAGAGGUGGUUCGACACUCAGAUGAGCAAAACAUCGUUUAAAGGCUUUUGGUAUAUGGAUCAACAGUUUUACGAUCUCCAAAUCAGUUUGUUUAAAGGAACUAAAGAAUCGCUAGCGAUCGCUAUCGCUGUUGCGUUUGUGGUCAUUCUCCUCACAACCUUAAAUGUGCUCCUCAGCAUCUACUCCAUCCUCACUAUCUCAUUCAUCAUCUCCGUCACUGUUGGAAUACUCGUGCUCAGUGGAUGGGAAUUAAACAUCAUGGAGUCUGUUGUGUUCUCCGUCGCAGCUGGUUUAUCUGCUGAUUUUACUCUCCAUUACAGUGUCGCGUAUAAGACGUCUUUACUUAAAAAUAACCGAGUCGAGCGCGUCAAGAGUGCGAUAAAUCACAUUGGACCAGCUAUUUUAAUGGGAGCUUUCACAACAUUCAUUGCAGGUCUGGUGAUGACACCUUCAAGCGUCUUAGUGUACAUACAGAUGGCGCAGUUUCUGAUGCUGGUCAUGAUGAUUAGUUGGUUGUUUAGUACAAUGUUCUUCUUGCCGCUUUGCGCUGUGAUUGGACCAACGGGUAAUUUCUGCCAAAUAACAAUGGGAAAAUCUUCAGCCAAUCAAAAUGAAACUGAACGCGUUGAGCUGAAAGACGCUCCUCCCUCGAAACAAAACGUAUCUGAAAUUGCAGAUGUGGAAGGUUCUUCUCCUUUGGUACAAAAAACAUCUGAAAAGAUAAAUGCUGAUCGACAGCAUAGCUCAACAGAAAAAUUAAAUGCGAUAUCAAACACUGAUGAAAACGCAGUGCCGAACAAAAAGAGGGAAAAUGUACCAAAGAAGAGCGAAAUUACGUAGAAGUGAUUGGCCUGUAUGUGGAUUCACAUUUCAAACAUCCUUGCACCAUCUUUUAAUAAAAAAAACAUCAGCAAAGGAUAAUGCACCAAUAAGAGUUAUCAAUGAACAAAAUACUGUUUAAGCGAAACAGAACUUGUUAAAAAGCAUUUUUUUUCAAGAAAGCACUUACAUCAUUUAAACUUCGAUGAAUUGUCUGGGACUUAUGCUUUUCUUGAGAAGAGAUGUGCUGGUAUUUUUGCUAUUUUGUGAACUGCACUAAAAUGACAUACAAGCGCACUUUCAAAUUAAUGCUGUUUCAUCCUCGUUUCCAGGGUUGUAUCCCUUUAAAUUUCUUAGACAAGUCGAUGGAGUUGUUUUAAAGGUGACACAUGCAUGAUAUUACGUUGCAACGUCAUAUAUAUCUUAGAAGAUUUCCGCAGGAUUUUUAAUUUUACAAAAAGCUGAAAGAACAAUGAUAGAGGGUCUUGAUUUAGCGAGUUUUCAGUUGCAAACUUUUUUAAUUUUGCGAAUUUUUAAUUUUAGCUUCUUGUAGUACCUAAAAUAUUAAAGUUUUAUAAAUAUUCUGCACAAAAAAGAAAAAAAGAGACGGGUGUUGGCA